AACAUGGGCCAUAUCACCCUGCAGCCCAAGACCGGUUACUCACUGAAGCUAAGCAGGGCUGAGCCUGGUCAGUACCUGGAUGGGAGACCACUAGGGAACACUAGGUUGCUGUUGGAA
rnacentral:rRNA from 1 species